rnacentral:tRNA from 1 species
CCGGCUAGCACAGUCGUUAGAGCAUGAGACUCUUAAUCUCAGGGUCGUGGGUUCAUGCCCCAGGCAGCUGGA